GGACUAUAGAUCUCACACGGACACACACAAAUAAAUCGCUCAAUAUACCACCACAGCUGUGGAUGCAAUCUAAUAGUCCUGAAUAUUCAAGCGACACCUGGUAGACAAAGUUCAGUUUUUUGUACGUAUAGUUUCCGUCUCUGUUCUCUAUAUAGUGUCGCACUACAGAAAACUACAGAAAACAGAUGAAUAAAUAUCAACAUCAAGUGUCAUAGUAGAUUUCCUGAUAUAAAUUUAAUUAUCAGUUGAAAGAAAUUUUUCAGUCAAAGUAAGGUAUCACCGACAUAUAUGAAUAAGUAUGUAUUAACAUGUACAUAUUAUACAUUAAGUGUUUGAUAGUUAAUAAAAUCUGAUUAAUUUACACAUUUAUCUGUGUGUGUAUGUGUGUGUAGGGUAGGAG